rnacentral:rRNA from 1 species
GUCGACGGUAACAGGCCCUUCGGGGUGCUGACGAGUGGCGGACGGGUGAGUAAUGCUUAGGAAUCUGCCUGGUUGUGGGGGAUAACCCGGGGAAACUCGGGCUAAUACCGCAUACGUCUCCCUGUCUUUGCGAUAGGGGGGGAAAGCGGGGACCUUCGGGCCUCGCGCUAUCAGAUGAGCCUAAGUCCGAUUAGCUAGUUGGUAGGGUAACGGCCUACCAAGGCGACGAUCGGUAGCUGGUCUGAGAGGACGACCAGCCACACUGGGACUGAGACACGGCCCAGACUCCUACGGGAGACAGCAGUGGGGAAUAUUGGACAAUGGGCGAAAGCCUGAUCCAGCGAUGCCGCGUGUGUGAAGAAGGCCUGCGGGUUGUAAAGCACUUUCAGUAGGGAAGAAAAGCCGAGUGCCAAUACCACUCGGUCUUGACGUUACCUAAAGAAGAAGCACCGGCUAACUCCGUGCCAGCAGCCGCGGUAAUACGGAGGGUGCGAGCGUUAAUCGGAAUUACUGGGCGUAAAGGGCGCGUAGGCGGUGAAGUAAGUCGGGUGUGAAAGCCCCGGGCCCAACCUGGGAACUGCCUCCGAUACUGCUUCGCUAGAGUAUGGUAGAGGGAAGCGGAAUUCCGGGUGUAGCGGUGAAAUGCGUAGAUAUCCGGAGGAACACCAGUGGCGAAGGCGGCUUCCUGGACCAAUACUGACGCUGAGGCGCGAAAGCGUGGGGAUCAAACAGGAUUAGAUACCCUGGUAGUCCACGCCCUAAACGAUGAGAACUAGCCGUUGGAGGAAAUUAGUCCUUUAGUGGCGCAGCUAACGCGAUAAGUUCUCCGCCUGGGGAGUACGGCCGCAAGGUUAAAACUCAAAGGAAUUGACGGGGG